AACAAGUAAGAACAAUAUUGUUUGCACCCAUAAUUUCAAUCCGAUACACGUUGACAUGUGGCUCUGGCCAACAAGAGAAAGAUCCCAUGCUAAAUUAAACCAAUGUAUUCACUUUCUUAACAGGUGAUUAAACAAAAUGAUCGUGCGGCAUUGCCAGUCACAGUUGACCCAAACAUGCGCAACAUUUGAAAUUGGACACAUGGCAACGCGUAUAAAGCCUUGGGAUUCAACAGUCAUGGUUCAAAAGAGAAAAGAAAGAAAUCAUCGGACAAGUGGCAUAAAGAGACUCAGCCCCACUAACCUGGUGGUGGAAGGUAGUUAAUAGAUGCACAGUUUGGAAAAAGCUCUAUAAAUAGAAGAGCUAUUCAAAGGGAAGGGGAUCCCUGCCACAUUGAAACCAAACAACUUAUAUAUGUAACUCAUCAGAGUGGGAGUAGGACUACAAGUAGAAGUAGAUAUAGGAGUAGUUUGAAGCCUCGAUGCUUGUAAUUAAAGAGUAGGAGUAGCUUCAAAGACACUGAAGUAAGAGUACUUUAAAAGGUACUUGUCCAUCUUGUAAUUGUGUUGAUUUUUCAAUCCAUAGUUAUUAUGUGUAUUUCAUCUGUCUUCUCUGCCUUCUCAGUAUAAGAAAUUUAAACACUUUCGCAGUUUUGUUCAAUCUUUUCUGGUAUGCCAUUUACACUGUUUUGACCUUUGAAGGGAAUGUGAGGCCAACACAUACAAACACGAAUUAUUACUGGUACUACUAUUUU
rnacentral:lncRNA from 1 species